ACAACUACAAUACAACACAAUAGACAAUAGAAAUGAUGGAUCUCAGUGAUCAGGGUAUUCUUCCGUUCUUCUUCUUUAUUAUACAAUGUAUUAUUAACACCAGCCUGUUAUUGGAAAGUCUUGCUUGGUGAACUGUGAAACCAGUUUUUAUAUUCACCUUGUCCAAAACCCUUGUGUUAUGCAUGUCCUUGGUUUCACUAGUCAUAGCUGUAGGGUUGCAUUCAUUUAAACCAAACGUUUACACAAAGUAUGUUCUGUUAAUAAUGAACUAUUACAGAAUAUAAUCUGCAGGAGAACUUUGUGACAGAACUAGUCCACCUCACGAUUAGCUAGGUGGUUAGAGUAUCAGGGCUUGUGGCCUUGAUUAUCUACUCCUCUGUAUUUUCACCUUCAGUUUGUUCAGAAACAGGGCUUGUGUUUCUCCAUUAAUUUACUGUAGUCAUGAGACUUCUAAAAACCCAGGCCUGAUUCAGUCUGGCUUCAUUUUACUGUAGUCAUGAGGCUUCUAAAAACCCAGGCCUGAUUCAGUCUGGCUUCAUUUUACUGUAGUCAUGAGGCUUUUAAAAACCCAGGCCUGAUUCAGAGUCUGGCUUCAUUUUACUGUAGUCAUGAGGCUUCUAAAAACCCAGGCCUGAUUCAGUCUGGCUUCAUUUUACUGUAGUCAUGAGACUUCUAAAAACCCAGGCCUGAUUCAGUCUGGCUUCAUUUUACUGUAGUCAUGAGGCUUCUAAAAACCCAGGCCUGAUUCAGUCUGGCUUCAUUUUACUGUAGUCAUGAGGCUUCUAAAAACCCAGGCCUGAUUCAGUCUGGCUUCAUUUUACUGUAGUCAUGAGGCUUCUAAAAACCCAGGCCUGAUUCAGUCUGGCUUCAUUUUACUGUAGUCAUGAGGCUUCUAAAAACCCAGGCCUGAUUCAGUCUGGCUUCAUUUUACUGUAGUCAUGAGGCUUUUAAAAACCCAGGCCUGAUUCAGUCUGGCUUCAUUUUACUGUAGUCAUGAGGCUUUUAAAAACCCAGGCCUGAUUCAGUCUGGCUUCAUUUUACUGUAGUCAUGAGGCUUCUAAAAACCCAGGCCUGAUUCAGUCUUGCUUCAUUUUACUGUAGUCAUGAGACUUCUAAAAACCCAGGCCUGAUUCAGUCUGGCUUCAUUUUACUGUAGUCAUGAGGCUUCUAAAAACCCAGGCCUGAUUCAGUCUGGCUUCAUUUUACUGUAGUCAUGAGGCUUCUAAAAACCCAGGCCUGAUUCAGUCUGGCUUCAUUUUACUGUAGUCAUGAGGCUUUUAAAAACCCAGGCCUGAUUCAGAGUCUGGCUUCAUUUUACUGUAGUCAUGAGACUUCUAAAAACCCAGGCCUGAUUCAGUCUGGCUUCAUUUUACUGUAGUCAUGAGGCUUCUAAAAACCCAGCCCUGAUUCAGUCUGGCUUCAUUUUACUGUAGUCAUGAGGAUCCUGAGUGGCGCAGCGGUCUAAGGCACUGUGUCUCAGUGCUUGAGGCGUCACUACAGGCACCCUGGUUCAAAUCCAGGCUGUAUCACAACCGGCUGUGAUUUGGAGUACGAUAGGGUGGUGCACAAUUGGCCCAGUAUCGUCCUGGUUUAGGGUUUGACCGGUGUAGGCUGUCAUUGUAAAUAAGGAUUUGUUCUUAACUGACUUGCCUGGUUAAAUAAAGGUCAUUAAAAAAAGAACAGUCACAUUUGAGUACAACUCUGCUGCAGUCACAAUGAUCAGGACAGAAAUAACACUGUGCCUCCAGACAUGACUAAAUAAUGACAUUCUGUUUCAGAUUUUGGAGGCCAUGGCAAGAUGACGCAGAGAUGGGAACACAGAAGAAGAUGUGAUUGGUCUGCUUGUUUAGCGAUAUCCAAUUGCGAUCCAAUUCCGAUCUUGUCUCAUCGCUGCAUCUUCCCAACGGGCUCGGGAGAGGCGAAGGUCGAGUCAUGUGUCCUCCGACACAUGACCCGCCAAACCACGCCUCUUAACACCCGCCCGUUUAACCUCGGAAGCCAAGUGCACCAAUGUGUCAGAGGAAAAACCGUUGAACUGACGACCGGAGUCAGCCUGGAGGCGCCCGGCCAACCACAAGGAGUUGCGAUACACUGCGCCACACUCUGAGGCCUCAGGAACAAUUAUUUUGAUAUAUGUUUUUACUGAACUUGAAAAGUAUUUUGUAUAAUUCUGUAAAAUGAAUCAGACUUAAAUGAUUUUUAAUACCAUGAGGAAGUCAAACCCAAUGAGUCCCAUCGGGACACUGGUGUGUUUUGGACUUUUAACCCCUGUUAAACAUUGUGAGAAAAAAAUGUAUGUACUUACAGCAUUCAUAUAAAUUCAUUAUUAUUAGCUUCUUGCUUGGCUGACUUUUUUAAAUUUGUUGCCAUUUGUCAAUAAAAGCUCAUGAAUGCCAA